AGUGAACGCUGGCGGUAGGCCUAACACAUGCAAGUCGAACGGCAGCACAGUAAGAGCUUGCUCUUACGGGUGGCGAGUGGCGGACGGGUGAGGAAUACAUCGGAAUCUACUUUUUCGUGGGGGAUAACGUAGGGAAACUUACGCUAAUACCGCAUACGACCUACGGGUGAAAGCAGGGGAUCUUCGGACCUUGCGCGAUUGAAUGAGCCGAUGUCGGAUUAGCUAGUUGGCGGGGUAAAGGCCCACCAAGGCGACGAUCCGUAGCUGGUCUGAGAGGAUGAUCAGCCACACUGGAACUGAGACUCGGUCCAGACUCCUACGGGAGGCAGCAGUGGGGAAUAUUGGACAAUGGGCGCAAGCCUGAUCCAGCCAUACCGCGUGGGUGAAGAAGGCCUUCGGGUUGUAAAGCCCUUUUGUUGGGAAAGAAAAGCAGCAGGCUAAUACCCCGCUGUUCUGACGGUACCCAAAGAAUAAGCACCGGCUAACUUCGUG
rnacentral:rRNA from 1 species